AGCCGCCGCGGUAAUACCGGCGGCCCGAGUGGCGGGCACUAUUAUUGGGCUUAAAGCGUCCGUAGCCGGGGUGGGAAGUCCUCCGGGAAAUCUGGCCGCUUAACGGUCAGAAUGCCGGAGGAUACUCCCAGCCUAGGGAGCGGGAGAGGCCGCGGGUAUUCCCGGAGUAGGGGUGGAAUCCUAUAAUCCCGGGAGGACCACCUGUGGCGAAGGCGCUCGGCUGGAACGCGUCCGACGGUGAGGGACGAAGGCCAGGGGAGCAAACCGGAUUAGAUACCCGGGUAGUCCUGGCGGUAAACGAUGCGGACUUUGUGUCGGACAAGCUAUGAGCUUGUCCGGUGCCGGAGGGAAACCGUUAAGUCCGCCGCCUGGGGAGUACGGCCGCAAGGCUGAAACUUAAAGGAAUUGGCGGG
rnacentral:rRNA from 1 species